CCCGGUAGCUAAGUGCGGAAAAGAUAAGCGCUGAAAGCAUCUAAGCGCGAAACUUGCCUCAAGAUGAGUCUUCCCUGGCCUUUAAGGCCUGAAGGAACGUUUAAGACUAAGACGUUGAUAGGCUGGGUGUGUAAGUGCAGCGAUGCAUUGAGCUAACCAGUACUAAUGAUCCGUGAGGCUUAACCUUACAACACCGAAGGUGUUU
rnacentral:rRNA from 1 species